rnacentral:antisense_RNA from 1 species
UACUCUAAGCAGUUCGCAGGGAGCAUCUUUCAGCAGCUGAAACAGCUUUGCGGCCUUGCUGUAAUGAAGAUCUGCCAGCACCCGGUGUUGUUUCCUAAGGUGUUCAUCACCAACCUAGAACCAAACCAAAACAAGCAACAAAUCCUUCACGAGAGCAUCCAGGCUGGACUUGAACUCCUUCCUGGGCUGAAGUGAUCCUCCUGCCUCAGCGUCCUGAAUAGGAAGUGGAGCCAGAAUCCACAGAUGUCAUUAUCCAUCUGCACACUUUGUUUACUACCCAGAAGGCAAGAAUAUUGCAUUUUAAAAGUGCCCGGACUUUUGUUCUUUCUUAUCACAAAUGACUUGGGAAGCUCCGACCACUCAUGUUUACCCCGAGUGAAAGUCCCAUUCAAAGCCUUGCUUCCUGGAGAGCUUUGAGAUUCUGGUACAAAAGGCAUUUUAUAAGCACAAAGUGGAAAAGCAUCAUUCAUAUUCAUUUGCUGCUGCGGCAUUUCUCCCUGGAAUCUUCCUCUUGUCUGUCAACAUUGGGCAAAAGGACUGGCCUCAUCUACAUUACAGAUAUCCU